GAGGCAGAGUCUCACUCUGUCCAUUGCCCAGGCUGUAGAGCAAUGGCGUGAUCUCAGCUCACUGCAACCUCUGCCUCCCGGGUUCAAGCAAUUCUCCUGCCUCAGCCUCCCGAGUAGCUAGAACACAGGUGCCCGCCACCACAUCCGGCUAAUUUUUUGUAUUUUUAGUAGAGGUGGGGUUUCAUCAUGUUGGCCAGGCUGGUCUGGAACUCCUGACCUCAGGUGAUCCACCUGCCUUGGCCUCCCAAAGUGCUGGGAUUACAGGCGUGAGCCACUGCGCCUGGCUGCUCUGCUUUUUACCCAUAGCUCUGGCUCUAAUAUAUGACACUGCCCCUCCCUGAAUUAGAAUGGAGGCUACAGGGGGAUGCUGGUCUGUUAGUUGACUGAUGCAUCUUCAGCACUUAAGACAGUGUCUGGCACAGAGUAGGAACAGAAUAUGGUCCUGUAACAAAUACUGAAGGUUGUGCUCUGUGCACCUGGGAUAGAGCAGGAGCAAGACACAUCAUUCCUGCCCUCACAGGGUUAUGGUCUCCUAGGUGACAAGGUAGUGCACACUUCCAUAGGUCUUACUCUGGGACAAGUACUGUGCCAAAUGCUUCCUCCCAGCCGCCUGAUGAGGUAGCUACUGUUAGUUAUCAAGUCUGAUUUACAGGUGAGGCAAAGAAAGGAUAAGUAAUUGACCCAAGGUCACACCUAGCAGGUGGUGAAGCUGAGCCAUGGGUCUUGGCUUCAAGAAUCUGUGCUCUUACCCACCAUACCUGCUGCUGCCGGAUUCAAACCCGAAUUGCAUUAAGGAAUCAUCAUAACCUGUUUGAUUGAAGCUAUAAGGGAACUUUGAGCAUGGUGAAUGGGGCGCUCUAUGGAAAAGGGGUUCUGGGAAGCCUCUGUGGAAGGGAGGUUUUGUUAAGUGAACUCCCCUGGUAAACGGAGUGAUUGGCCCCCAAUUAGCUUGCUGUUCGGAUUAACUGUAAUACAUCACACUUUCGAAAGUGAAGAUAUGCCUAUUUUUUCCCCUCUAGGUCUAUAAAGUAGAUUUUUGCCAUUAGUAAAAUUUAAAGUGAUUGGGGGCUAUGGUUACUGAGAAUUCAAGAGGUAGAUUGACGAAAUAAUAUUUGAAUGCAAUUUUAUUUUUUGAAAAAUGUUUUCGAGAUGUCCUGUUUUUAGCCAGGAAGCAAACUCCAGGAAAACUCUCUUUUCCAUUAAAGUGUGGAUGGUGUACUGUAAACAAAGACUAGCUCUCUUGAGCUGCCACGUUUCUAUAACUUAUAGAAACAGAAGCUGUUUUUUUUUUCUAAAGAUCCAAACUCAUGUUGCCACACAAACAACAAAAUAAACCAGUGUGUUCCAAAAACAAGCAUUUGCUCUACCCACACGCACAGUUGGAAAGAUGCAGGUUUGAUUGAAGAAGUCGGAAGCCAGUGAGGUAAUGGCAGAUUCUUUUAGGGGCUCCUGUUAAUUUUAGUAAGCUUGGAAGAAGCUUCUAGGUUGUUUAGUGUUUCUAUUAGAACCAUCACCUCAACGAAUUUGUUAUUGUAGAGAUUGAUUAGGGGAUCUGCUUCCUUUGAGCAGCCAGGAUCCCCCAGCUCCAGCUUCUAGCCUGCUUUUCUUCCUCAUCUCUACUCUUUCAGAAUAAUGCAUGGCUUUCAAGUCCUGUGUGAUAGGUGGCUUCUUAGCGGGCCUCUGAAGGGGCUGAGAUUUGUUCCUGGGGCUGAGACUUUGUUCCUUUGAGGGUGCAGAGGCUGCUACCUGCUCAGGCUGCCCCCAAAUUGCUCUUGUGUGCAGUGUGCUGCUUGGGGACCAGUCCUGGCUCUGCCACCAUGGCGGACACUACUGGCUUCCUCUUAAUCUCAAUCUCUUCUUCUCCUUUCUUUCUUUUUUUUGGAGACGGAGUUUUGCUCUUGUUGCCCAGGCUGGAGUGCAAUGGCGCUAUCAAUCGUUCAAGCGAUUCUUCUGCCUCAGCCUCCCAAGUAGCUGGGAUUACAGGCAUGUACCACCACACCUGGCUAAUUUUGUAUUUUUAGUAGAGACAGGAUUUCACUAUGUUGGCCAGUCUGAUCUCGAACUCCUGACCUCAGGUGAUCCGCCUACCUCGGCCUCCCAAAAUGCUGGGAUUACAGGCAUGAGCCACUGUGCCUGGCCCUCUUCUCCUUUCUAACACAAGCCUGCUUCUCAGUUUCACGCACACAUAGGAGUGGCCACCUGACCCUGUGUUGGCAAAUGAUUGCAGGCUGUUGUCACCGGUGGGGCUCCUGGAAAAGCCCUCUAUGGGGGAUUGACUCUGGCAUGACUGGGGUGUGGAUGCUGUGCUCAGAGGUGCUGCAGUAAUGGUUCUGCUGCUGCUGAUAGUAACACAGGCAGUGCUGUGUCAUGCACAGUAAUCCUGUAAGGGAGAUACUAUCAUGAUCUCUGUUCGGUGGAUGAGGAAACAGUCUGAGGAAAGGCACCUGACCUGUUCAGGCCACACACUAAGUACAGAGCUGGGAUCCUGGCACCAGCAUUUGCUCUCACCACCUCUCUGUUAUGUACCUCUCACACAGAUUGGUCCAACAAGUGCAGUUCUUCUAGUCUCCUAUCUAGAUAAGCAGGAUAUUAGAAGGAAUAGGAGAGGCCUGCAAAAAGCUAUGAUAGGGUGGAAAUAGGAUAGGAGAAACUGAAAAAAGGGGAGGCGUGCGCUCCAACACCUCCAUAGCCCUUGGGGACGGGCUUAGUUUCUAAUGAGAAUACAGAAGGCCCAUGUCUCAAUAGGCCCCGAAAAAUAUUAAUCCAGCCCAAUAUGAACAGUCUGCUAAUUAUAUGACUGGGCCUGCUUAGGAGAUCAGGGCAAUAUUACAUUCAGAGUACUCAGUUUAGGAAGAUGACACAGUGUAAUACAUACAGAUUUCCAUCAUUUCUUUUAUUCCUCAUUUGGAGAGGCAACAGGGCUGAGAUAGACAUGUUAGCGAUGGCUAGAUUGAUUGAUUUAUUGACUGAAUGAAUGGCCUGCUUUAGGCAGCGGGAACACUGAAUGAACAUUUUAAAAUCAGCUGGUAUAGGUCAGGAACUGUGCAGGUUGCUGGGAAUGGGUAGAUGAAAAGACAUUGCUAUGGUUUGGCUGUGUCCCCACCUAAAUUUCACCUUGAAUUGUAAUCCCCAUGUUUCAAGGGUGGGACCAGGUGGAGAUAAUUGAAUGGGGGGGUGGUUUCUCCCAUACUAUUCUGGUGGUAGUGAAUAAGUCUCACGAGAGCUGAUGGUUUUAUAAAUGGGAGUUCCCCUGCACAAGCCCUCUUGCCUGCCACCAUGUAAGAUGUGACUUUGCGCCUCCUUCCCCUUCCACCGUGAUUGUGAGGCCUCGCCAGCCAUGUGGAACUGUGAGUCAAUUAAGCCUCUUUCCUUUAUAAAUUACCCAGUCUCAGGUAUGUCUUCAUUUGCAGCAUGAGAACAGACUAAUACAGACAUGGACCUUGGCUGUAGGGAGUUUGCACUGUAGUGACGGCAAGAGCUCACGUGAUCCAUUUUAAGAUAGAAGAGCGAGCUCAGGCAGAGGAACACAGAGCCAGGAUGGUCCAUGCACGGAAUCUGGCCCUGCCCUUACUUUCUCCAGGAGCAUGGGCUGGGUCCCUCUCCUCCCUAAUCCUCACUUUGCUCAUGUGUGAAAUGUAGAUCAAGUAAGUUCUACACUCAGAGGUCUCUUGUGAAGAUUAAAUGAGAAAAGGCAUGGAAACUGCCUUUGCACACAGCCUGGUAUAUCCUGAUGUCUGCUGAUACUCUUAUUUUUAUGUUCCUUGACAUUCCAAAUCUGCCCCAGGGAGAAUUCCAGGACAGCUCUGGAGAGGAAGUGAUCUUUGAAUCCAACCUUGAAAUCACCCUAGGAGAUGCAAAGAAGGUGACACCAGUUAAGAAUAAGAUGUGUACCCAUUUUCAAAUGUUCUUUUUUUUUUUUUUCAGAUGGAGUCUCGCUCUGAUGCCUAGGCUGGAGUGCAGUGGGGUGAUCUCGGCUAAUUGCAACCUCCGCCUCCCGGGAUAAAGCGAUUCUCCUGCCUCAGCCUCCCGAGUAGCUGGGAUUACAGGCGCCUGCCACCAUGCCCAGCUAAUUUUUGUGUUUUUAGUAGAGAUGGGAUUUCACCAUGUUGGCCAGACUGGUCUUGAACUCCUGACCUCAAGAAUCCACCUGCCUUGGCCUCCCAAAGUGCUGAGAUUACAGGCAUGAGGCACUGCACCUGGCCCAAAUCUUCUCAGUUCUAAAUGGCUGUGAUAAAAACUACAUUGAUAAUUUUUUUUUUUUUUUUUUUUUGGAGAUGGAGUCUCGCUCUGGUGCCCAGGCUGAAGUGCAAUGGCGCAAUCUUGGCUCACUGCAAGCUCCGCCUCCUGGGUUCACGCCAUUCUCCUGCCUCAGCCUCCCGAGUAGAUGGGGCUACAGGCGCCUGCCACCACCCCCGGCUAAUUUUUUUUGUAUUUUUAGUAGAGACGGGGUUUCACCAUGUUAGCCAGGAUGGUCUUGAUCUCCUGACCUCGUGAUCCGCCCACCUCAGCCUCCCAAAGUGCUGGGAUUACAGGCCUCUGCGCCUGGCCUUGCAUUGACAAUUAAUUUGUUUAUGGAAAGCCAGUUAUCCAAUGAUGGUGAACAAAUGCAACUUGACUGUAUAAUACUUAUUUUGGUUUUGGACCAAAGUCACCAUUAAAUAUGCCAAGUUCUUGUUCAAG
rnacentral:lncRNA from 1 species